GCAGGGGGGAUCCGAGUCCCGGAUUGCUCCCCGGUGAGCGCGGGGUGCAAGAAAACUAGCCUGCUCAGCUGCUCUCCCCUUAAGGAGCAGUUCCCCACCUCUGAUCAUCUUGUUCUUUGCAACAUUUUUCAGUUGUAAUGUAUCGUUCUGGGGAUGAGGAGACUGGAACUACAUGCAUUAUUCAAGG